rnacentral:rRNA from 1 species
GCCAAAUAGCUAGCCUGAACGCAACUAUAAGAACUAAUUAUGAAUAACCAAACCACCCGCCCAGAAUAAAACAUUUUACCCCCUAAGUAUAGGCGAUAGAAAAGGACCUCAGAGCAAUAGAAAAAGUACCGCAAGGGAAAGCUGAAAAAGAAAUGAAAUAAUUCAACAAAGCAGAGAAAAGCAGAGACCAAACCUCGUACCUUUUGCAUCAUGAUUUAGCAAGAAAGCCCAAGCAAAGAGAACUUAAGUUUGACCCCCCGAAACCAGGAGAGCUACUCCGGGGCAGCCCAAAGGGGCACACCCGUCUCUGUGGCAAAAGAGUGGGGAGACCUCCGAGUAGAAGUGAAAAGCCUACCGAGCCUGGUGAUAGCUGGUUGUUCAGGAAAUGAAUAUAAGUUCAGCCCUAUGCCAUUCUAGUCUUACUACGAAGAGAGCAAGAAAAACAUAGGAGUUAGUCAAAAGGGGUACAGCCCUCUUGAAAAAGGACACAACCUUACCUAGGAGAAUAAGGAUCAAAAAAAACUAAGGCACCUCCCCCAGUGGGCCUAAAAGCAGCCACCUGUGAAGACAGCGUUAAAGCUCAAGCAGCACAAAGCCAAUAAUAAUAAUAAAACCAUCCUAAUUCCCUUAAAACACUGAACCCCUCUAUAAGGUUAUAGAGAAGAUAAUGCUAAAAUUAGUAAUAAGAGGGGUUAGCCCCUCUCCUCGCACAAUCGUGAGUCAGACAGGACCAACCACUGACAACUAGCGGACCCAAAAGAGGGAAUAGCAAAACACUUAAACACAAGCAAGGAAGCCCUGCCUAUGAGACCGUCACCCCGACACAGGAGUGCAUAAAGGAAAGACUAAAAGAGAGAGAAGGAACUCGGCAAACUCAAACCCCGCCUGUUUACCAAAAACAUCGCCUCUUGCUAACAAUGAAGUAUUAGAGGUCCCGCCUGCCCUGUGACAGCAGUGUUUAACGGCCGCGGUAUUUUAACCGCGCGAAGGUAGCGUAAUCACUUGUCUUUUAAAUGGAGACCUGUAUGAAUGGCAUAACGAGGGUUUAACUGUCUCCUUUCUCUGGUCAAUGAAAUUGAUCUCCCCGUGCAGAAGCGGGCAUAGCAACAUAAGACGAGAAGACCCUAUGGAGCUUUAGGCAAAUGAUCAAACGCAACAAGCCCGACCUUUAAUCAAGCCGGGAAACAAAAACCCCUGAUCAAAGUGCCUUCGGUUGGGGCGACCAUGGAGGAAAAAAGAGCCUCCAAGUGGAACGGGAAAACCCUUCAACUAAGAAGAACAACUCUAAGUACCAGAAAAUCUGACCAACAAUGACCCAGGACAGACCUGAUCAACGAACCGAGUUACCCUAGGGAUAACAGCGCAAUCCCCUCCCAGAGUCCAUAUCGACGAGGGGGUUUACGACCUCGAUGUUGGAUCAGGGCAUCCUAAUGGUGCAGCCGCUAUUAAGGGUUCGUUUGUUCAACGAUUAAUAGCCCUACGUGAUCUGAGUUCAGACCGGAGUAAUCCAGGUCGGUUUCUAUCUAUGAUCUAGCCUACCCCUAGUACGAAAGGACCGGAGUAGGGGGGCCCAUGAAAAAACAAGCCUCAACCCUACCCACUGAAGCCAUAUAAAGUGGAUAAGGGGAAAGACACAACUGCCAGAGAUAACGGCAU